rnacentral:rRNA from 1 species
CAGCCGCCGCGGUAAUACGGAGGGUGCAAGCGUUAAUCGGAAUUACUGGGCGUAAAGCGCACGCAAGCGGUUUGUUAAGUCAGAUGUGAAAUCCCCCGAGCUUAACUUGGGAACUGCAUUUGAAACUGGCAAGCUAGAGCCUUGUAGAGGGGGGUAGAAUUCCAGGUGUAGCGGUGAAAUGCGUAGAGAUCUGGAGGAAUACCGGUGGCGAAGGCGGCCCCCUGGACAAAGACUGACGCUCAGGUGCGAAAGCGUGGGGAGCAAACAGGAUUAGAUACCCGUGUAGUCCCUGUCUCUUAUU